UGGCGGACGGGUGAGUAACGCGUGGGUAACCUGCCUUACACAGGGGGAUAACACCUGGAAACAGGUGCUAAUACCGCAUAAGCGCACAGGGCCGCAUGGCCCGGUGUGAAAAACUCCGGUGGUGUAAGAUGGACCCGCGUCUGAUUAGCUUGUUGGCGGGGUAGGGGCCCACCAAGGCGACGAUCAGUAGCCGGCCUGAGAGGGUGGACGGCCACAUUGGGACUGAGACACAGCCCAAACUCCUACGGAAGGCAGCAG
rnacentral:rRNA from 1 species